rnacentral:lncRNA from 1 species
AAAAUAGUCCUUCUUCUUUUGUCGGAAGGGCAAGUGGUAAUUCGCCACCCUACAGCCAGUCAAUGCCACAUAAAGGUAAAGUCCUCGACAAAGCCAGGGUCAUAUGAGGACAAGUGUCGACGUGGCACAGACGGAACGAGGAAGUAUAUAGACAAAAAGAAAAAGUUUUCAAGACACAGAUUUGCGACAAAAUCUCAAUGAGUUCACGACAAUAUGACGGCUUUGAUCAGGAUUACGAACCUCAAAUAUUCCCACCAGUAGGGGCCAGUGGUUAUCCAUCACCCUAUAGCCAGCCAUUGACACAUACAGUGUUUGACGUCCUCGAAGGAGCAAAUGUCAGACCUGCUACCAUUGUAUCCGUCUGCAUAAUCGAAGCACUGAGACUGAAGCAGGGCAACUGUAGAAUCUGAUUUUCUUCUGUGAGACAUUUGAGAAAAUAAAUUUGUAUAUG